rnacentral:tRNA from 1 species
GGUCUAGUAGUCUAGUGGCUAUGACUUCGGUUUCUGAUUCCGGCAACCUGGGUUCGAUUCCCAGCUAGACCU